rnacentral:rRNA from 1 species
UGCAGUCGAGCGGAUGACGAAGGAGCUUGCUCCUUCUGAUUCAGCGGCGGACGGGUGAGUAACACGUGGGCAACCUGCCCUGUAGAUUGGGAUAACUCCGGGAAACCGGGGCUAAUACCGAAUAAUCCUUCGGACCUCAUGGUCCGAUGUUGAAAGACGGCUUCU